UUGGAGGUGUCUUCAUAUUUCAAGAACUUCCCGCCUGGUUCCUGGGCUCUGCCUUCUGUUGGAAAUGUCUUUAAUGUUGAUCCCAUUCAACAUUUACAUGAGCAAGAAUUUCUUCAGCUUGCUCACCAUUAUGGAGAUUUAUUCAGCCUACAGCUGGGAAGAAAUAAAAGUUGUGGUAAACAGCCAUAAACUUUGAAGGAGGCUCUUCAACCGGGCAGACUCUAUCUCUGGACAUCCUUCAACACCUUUGUUUUAUCGCAUCAACAAAUGUCAAGGUAUAGAAUUCAACAAUGGUGAAGCCUGGAAGCAUUGGAAGCAAAGGAAGAUUUACUGAAAUACUGAAAAGUAUUCAGACCCAGCAGUCCAAAACACAGGCUGGGGAGGGAAAGCUGAUUUGACUAUUUUCUACCACUCCAACUUUAAUCUGUGUCUACUGCCCAUUCCUCCCGUGGUCUGUUUUGAACUUAUUGC